rfam:Chelonia mydas contig204245, whole genome shotgun sequence.
AUGGAGACAUGGCAUAAAGCAGGAGACACUAGGCUCUCAACUUGACCUGAUUGGCAUCUCAUUUU